CAAUAAGCAAUUAAUUUUGUUAAAGAUUGUUCCUUACUAUUAUAACUACCCCCCCCCAAAAAAAAUAAAAAAUAAUAAUCCAACCAGGUGUAUUCUGUGAGGCAAUCUGAAUCACUCACACUCACGGUCCUGGGGAGUUUAAUGUGCUAUCCUGAAUAGUGCUGUGUAUUUACAUAUUUUGUUAUACAAUCCAAUGUGAGAAGAAUCUGUGAGGAGAGGCCAUAAAAACGUAUUAUCCUUAUACACAAACUGCAGUUGACUGCACUAAAGUUGCUCUUUUUCUUUUUCCAGGAAGGAAAAACAGCAGCGCUGCAGAAGAAAAGCUGCCGCCAUAUGAGCCCAAUGUCCCUGAACCAACCACCAGGGCUGACUUCAUGAAAUGUAAGCCUUUUUAUGUUCAGGAAAUACGUUUUUUUUUUUUUUUUUUAAUUUAACAGUUUUGUCGCUAACUAUUGCCAACUAAUGGCCUCACAAUAUUAAUUAGAACUAUUAGCUAAGUAGUGCCCUAGAAUGUGGAGUCUUUAGUCUGCCCAGAUAAAUGUAAUAAAUUCAUUAAGUCUUAAUAAAAUGAAAUACAUUAAAACUAUUUAGAAAGUAAAAAUGGAAAUUAAGUUUUAAGGCCACAGUUAAUAUAAAGAUAAGUGAAACAAUUUGCAGAUAUGCAGAAAUGGAAUAUAAAAUUAAU
rnacentral:lncRNA from 15 species